UUCCUGAUAGACUAGCGGCUAGCAUGCGGUGCUCUGACCGCCGCGGCCCGGGUUCGAUUCACUGUCAGAUAA